rnacentral:rRNA from 1 species
UACGAAGGGGCUAGCGUUGCUCGGAAUCACUGGCGUAAAGGGUGCGUAGGCGGGUCUUUAAGUCAGGGGUGAAAUCCUGGAGCUCAACUCCAGAACUGCCUUUGAUACUGAAGAUCUUGAGUUCGGGAGAGGUGAGUGGAACUGCGAGUGUAGAGGUGAAAUUCGUAGAUAUUCGCAAGAACACCAGUGGCGAAGGCGGCUCACUGGCCCGAUACUGACGCUGAGGCACGAAAGCGUGGGGAGCAAACAGGG